rnacentral:lncRNA from 1 species
GGAGAGGCCACGGGAAUGCAGCCGGAAGUGAUGAUGGGGAAAGAUCUGGAAGGCAGGCUGGACGCCCGCCCAGUGAUGGGUCGCGGGGGGAGGAGAGCAGGGGCCGUGAGGGAGCGCUGCGUUCACUUACAUGUUCUUUCCACAAACUUCACGGGGGCCACGUGUUUAGAAGACAAAAGGACUAGACCCUUCUGUUGGGUUCUCAGCGGCUGGCAUCCGGAUGCAAGCCGCGUGCGAACACCCGCGGGUGGUAGAGACCCCGCCAACCUGCUGCGGCCUUCCCUCGCCGGCCCCGCACGCUGGCAGCUGUGGGCGCUCGGCCCGCUCCCGGGGCUCGGACAGCCAACACCGUGGGGUGUCACCGGGCUCCCCCACGAGGAUCACCCGGCGGGGGCUGAGGACACGAGGACGCCGGCCAAUCACCAGAGGCCGAGGUGAUUCAAGACAUUUUUUUUCUGAGAUUGGGACUCCCUGGCUGAGGGAAAGUACCUGGGUACUGUCAAGAGGCUGGAAAAGCCAUCACGAAACGUGAGAAAAUAUCUAAAAACCACGUGUCUACUAAGAAUCCGGUAUCGAGAUGUAAGGAAUACAUAGACAAUAUAUAUAUGUUACCGUACACAGUAUACAAGGAAUUCUCUCCUGACUCGGCAAUCCAAUUUAAAAAAAAAACGAACAAAGCGUUCAAAUAGACGUUUCUCCAAAGAAGAGAAAGAAAUGAUCCCCAAGCACACGAAGCGUCACGACCGUCAUUCGUCGUAAGAGGAGCAAACCGGAGUCGCAGGGAAAUCCUGUUUCACCCUCAGUGGCUGCAGUCAGCAUGUGAACGGUCACGGGUGUGGAUGGGGCCGCGUGCGGGGUCCGAACCCUCGGCGCUGCGGGCAGGACACACGACGGCGCGGCCACUUUGGGGAUGCGGGUGGGAUCCCCAGGCAGGGGUGCUCAGCGGCUGGGCGCCUGCCUGCGGCCCAGGGCGUGAUCCCGGGAUCGAGUCCCGCGUCGGGCUCCCCGCAGGGACCCUGCUUCUCCCUCUGCCUGGGUCUCUGCCUCUCUCUGUGUCUCUCAUGAAUAAAUAAAUAAAAAUCUUAAAAAAAAAAAAAAAAGAAAAACCAACCUGUGCCCACGUGACCCAGCGUCACCCUCUAGGCGUGUGUCAAGGGAGCCGGAAACCCAGCUUCGCACCAAGACUCGAGCCCAAGUGCCCGUGUUGCUCACCACGGCCACAGAGCAGGAGCACCCGCAGGCUCCCCGCUGACGAAGGGCCCCCCAGGACGGGUGACCCCUCGGCGCACCGCCUACUAUUCAGGGAUAAACCCUGGGCACGUUACACUAAGGGAAGUAAACCAGGCACAUGGCGUCACACGGGGUCACACGUCCUAUGAUUCCAUUUACCAAAAAUGUCAAAAAUAAGCAAAUCCGUAGAGACAGAAAUCAGACUUUUGGCUGCCGACGGCGGGAGGAAGGGACUGGAAAGGGGCGUGAGUGCUGGGGGGUGUGGGAUUGCCUGGCGGGGUGACGAAGACCUUCCGGGCGUGUGCGGUGCUGGUGGCCCUACUACGACCUCGCGAGGAACCUCAAACCCCCG